UACGUAGGGACCGAGCGUUGUCCGGAAUCAUUGGGCGUAAAGAGCGUGUAGGCGGCUAUUUAAGUCCUGCGUGAAAUCCUGCGGCUCAACCGCAGACGGUCGUGGGAAACUGGAUGGCUAGAGUGCGGGAGAGGAGAGUGGAAUUCCCGGUGUAGCGGUGAAAUGCGCAGAUAUCGGGAAGAACACCAGUGGCGAAGGCGGCUUCCUGGCCUGCAACUGACGCUGAGACGCGAAAGCGUGGGGAGCGAACCGG
rnacentral:rRNA from 1 species